AGUGAACGCUGGCGGUAGGCCUAACACAUGCAAGUCGAACGGCAGCACAGUAAGAGCUUGCUCUUACGGGUGGCGAGUGGCGGACGGGUGAGGAAUACAUCGGAAUCUACUUUUUCGUGGGGGAUAACGUAGGGAAACUUACGCUAAUACCGCAUACGACCUACGGGUGAAAGCAGGGGAUCUUCGGACCUUGCGCGAUUGAAUGAGCCGAUGUCGGAUUAGCUAGUUGGCGGGGUAAAGGCCCACCAAGGCGACGAUCCGUAGCUGGUCUGAGAGGAUGAUCAGCCACACUGGAACUGAGACACGGUCCAGACUCCUACGGGAGGCAGCAGUGGGGAAUAUUGGACAAUGGGCGAAAGCCUGAUCCAGCCAUACCGCGUGGGUGAAGAAGGCCUUAGGGUUGUAAAGCCCUUUUGUUAGGAAAGAAAAGCAGCAGGUUAAUACACAGCUGUUCUGACGGUACCCAAAGAAUAAGCACCGGCUAACUUCGUG
rnacentral:rRNA from 1 species